AUUGAACGCUGGCGGCAGGCCUAACACAUGCAAGUCGAACGGUAACAGGAAGAAGCUUGCUUCUUUGCUGACGAGUGGCGGACGGGUGAGUAAUGUCUGGGAAACUGCCUGAUGGAGGGGGAUAACUACUGGAAACGGUAGCUAAUACCGCAUAAUGUCGCAAGACCAAAGAGGGGGACCUUCGGGCCUCUUGCCAUCGGAUGUGCCCAGAUGGGAUUAGCUAGUAGGUGGGGUAACGGCUCACCUAGGCGACGAUCCCUAGCUGGUCUGAGAGGAUGACCUGCCACACUGGAACUGAGACACGGUCCAGACUCCUACGGGAGGCAGCAGUGGGGAAUAUUGCACAAUGGGCGCAAGCCUGAUGCAGCUAUGCCGCGUGUAUGAAGAAGGCCUUCGGGUUGUAAAGUACUUUCAGCGGGGAGGAAGGGAGUAAAGUUAAUACCUUUGCUCAUUGACGUUACCCGCAGAAGAAGCACCGGCUAACUCCGUG
rnacentral:rRNA from 1 species